GGAGAUGUGGCACAGUAGUUAAGAGCACUGACUGCUCUUCUAGAGAUUCUGAGUUCAAAUCCCAGCAACUACA
rnacentral:tRNA from 1 species